CCUACGGGGGGCAGCAGUGGGGAAUAUUGGACAAUGGGGGGAACCCUGAUCCAGCCAUGCCGCGUGUGUGAAGAAGGCCCUCGGGUUGUAAAGCACUUUCAGUGAGGAAGAACGCCUGGUGGUUAAUACCCAUCAGGAAAGACAUCACUCACAGAAGAAGCACCGGCUAACUCCGUGCCAGCAGCCGCGGUAAUACGGAGGGUGCGAGCGUUAAUCGGAAUUACUGGGCGUAAAGCGCGCGUAGGUGGCUUGAUAAGCCGGUUGUGAAAGCCCCGGGCUCAACCUGGGAACGGCAUCCGGAACUGUCAAGCUAGAGUGCAGGGGAGGAAGGUAGAAUUCCCGGUGGAGCGGUGAAAUGCGUAGAGAUCGGGAGGGAUACCAGUGGCGAAGGCGGCCUUCUGGACUGACACUGACACUGAGGUGCGAAAGCGUGGGUAGCAAACAGGAUUAGAUACCCGGGUAGUC
rnacentral:rRNA from 1 species